ACCAACUAACCAACCAAGCAAACAAACAAAAAGCAAAAGCAAUCCUCUCAUUUAGCCAUGUAGCCACGGAGUGAGAGGAGAGAGGCCCAGGCAGUAAGAGCCUUGCUGCAUUACCGGCUUGGCUUGGGCAGCAGUGGGCAGGGGCCUCCUUCUUCAAAGAAGUUUUCCUCUGAGGGCAGCAAGAAAUUGAGCCACCUCUGUGUGGGGCAUGCUGUGAAAAGUACAAGGCAGAGCUGUGAGACCUGAUCCCUUUACAUCACUCAAAGGGGAUUAUGAUGCACGGUGGAGUGGAAAGUUGUGCUAAGCAGUGCUGUUCAGGCUUAGAGAAAGCCUGUUUUGAACGUCUCUAACAGAAAGCAUAGCUGCGCAUAGAACGUAAGGGCAGAAAUUGGUGUCAGGGAGAAACCAUACAGGUAACUGAGGCCCUCAGAUACUCAGGAAUAGGGGGUGCUGGUGACUCCCAGAAGAGAGAAGAAUGCAGCUGCUUUUGAUAAGAACUAAGUACAUGUUGGGAGAGGAAGACUCAGUCUUAAGGAUGAGGGAAUUGGGAAUGUGGACCUGGCUAGUGGUCAUCUUUCUGUAACUCCAGUGGCAGUUAAACUGCUUCAACGGGUCUUCAAGAUGCAAAAGGUGGGCAUAGUGAAACAUGCUGUGCUGCCCUAAGAGACCUGCUAGCACUUGUGUUUGGGACCUGCACUGGGAUGGCUUUCUCUGCUUUGACCAAGACCAACUGUUUGUUCCGGACACAGCCAGCUGAGACAAGAACCUAGCAUAACUGUCCUCUGAGAGGCUCUACCCAGC